rnacentral:rRNA from 1 species
CAAAGCAGCCAUUCCUUUAAAGACUGCGUAAUAGCUCACUGGUCCAGCGUGGAUGCGCCGAGAAUGGUCGGGAUUAAGCGGCCCGCCGAAGCUUGGCCUUCACACUUUGUGUGAGGGGUAGGGGAGCGUUCCUGUAGCAGAGAAGGGCCCGUGGAAACGUUGGCCUGGAGCGGCAGGAAGUGAGGAUGCCGGAAUGAGUACGCGCAAAUCCAAGUGAAAACCUUGGACACCGUAAACCCAAGGGUUCCUGCGCCAUGGCAAUCAGCGCAGGGUGAGGCGGACCCUAAGGCGAGGCCCCAAAGGCGUAGCCGAUGGACAGCCGGUUGACAUUCCGGCCCCGUCAUGCAGUGUCGAAACCAUCAGGGACACCGAAACGAAGCGACGGCGGUUUUGUGGAUUGACCGUCUAAGCCGGUAGGCGCAAGCCGAGAGGUGAUGGCAAGGGAAGGCUUCGGCCGACUCGAGCGUCGUAGAGUCUGCGGGCAAGAAAAGCUGGUGGUGGAGCUGCACGAUGUCCGUACCGUAAACCGACACAGGUGGGUGAGGCGAGUAGCCUCAGGUGAACGAGUGAAACGUGGUCAAGGAACUCGGCAUAAUGAUCCCGUAACUUCGGAAGAAGGGAUGCCUUUGACUGUGAGGGGACUUGCUCCCCGAGCGGGCAGAGGCCGCAGAGAAUCGGCCCAAGCGACUGUUUAGCAAAAACACAGGUGCGUGCCAAGCCGCAUAAGGCGCCGUAUACGCACUGACGCCUGCCCGGUGCCGGAAGGUUAAGGGGAGAGGUUAGGGGGUAACCCCGAAGCUUUGAGCCGAAGCCCCGGUAAACGGCGGCCGUAACUAUAACGGUCCUAAGGUAGCGAAAUUCCUUGUCGGGUAAGUUCCGACCUGCACGAAUGGCGUAACGACUUGGGCACUGUCUCGACCACGUGCUCGGCGAAAUUGCAGUCUCGGUGAGGAUUCCGAGUCCCCGCGACAGGACAAAAAGACCCCAUGCACCUUUACUGCAGCUUGUCAUUGGACAUUGCACUUCACUGUGUAGCAUAGGUGGGAGUCGGUGAAGCCGGGGCGCUAGCCUCGGUGGAGACACCAGUGAAAUACCACCCUGUGUAGUGCGAUGCCCUCACCACGGAAGGCAAACCCUUUCUGGGACCGUGGCAGGCGGGCAGUUUGACUGGGGCGGUCGCCUCCGAAAGAGUAACGGAGGCGCGCGCAAGGUUGGCUCAGCGCGGUCGGUACUCGCGCUUAUAGAGUGUAACGGCAGAAGCCAGCCUGACGGUGAGACCGACGGGUUGAACCGCCACGAAAGUGGGCCGUAGUGAUCCGGUAGCCCGGGGUGGAGCGGCUAUCGCGCAACGGAUAAAAGGUACCCUGGGGAUAACAGGCUUAUCGCGCCCGAGAGUUCACAUCGACCAAA